CUUCAAACUUCCUACUUUAACGCAAAUCUUUAACUCUAGCUAGUGACACAUCGUCUUCUUUUCGUUCAUCAACUGGGUUUCUUUGGAGAAUGAUUUUUUUCAUCUUGGCCUUCAUAAAUCUGGACUCCAUGACUCUUGGUGAUUCUGUUUUUCUUGUACGCCUCUUCCAAUCAAAAAAAGCAAAAUGUUACUAGUCCAUAUAACCAUU